rnacentral:rRNA from 1 species
AACGAACGCUGGCGGCAUGCCUAACACAUGCAAGUCGAACGAGACCUUCGGGUCUAGUGGCGCACGGGUGCGUAACGCGUGGGAAUCUGCCCUUGGGUUCGGAAUAACAGUUAGAAAUGACUGCUAAUACCGGAUAAUGUCUUCGGACCAAAGAUUUAUCGCCCAGGGAUGAGCCCGCGUAGGAUUAGCUAGUUGGUGAGGUAAAGGCUCACCAAGGCGACGAUCCUUAGCUGGUCUGAGAGGAUGAUCAGCCACACUGGGACUGAGAUACGGCCCAGACUCCUACGGGAGGCAGCAGUGGGGAAUAUUGGACAAUGGGGGCAACCCUGAUCCAGCAAUGCCGCGUGAGUGAUGAAGGCCUUAGGGUUGUAAAGCUCUUUUGCCAGGGAAGAUGAUGACUGUACCUGGAGAAUAAGCCCCGGCUAACUUCGUGCCAGCAGCCGCGGUAAU